GCCACCGGGACCACAUCCGGCGGUGUAGGAGGCGGCGGGGACAGCCCCUCCAGGCGGAUCCGACCCGAUCCGAUGCCCUGGACGCGGUCGACCAGCUCGACGCCGACGGGGGUACGGAAGACCGGGCGAUGGUACAGGAAGAUCGCGUUGGGAAGGAGCGACGGCGAGGCGUCGGAGGAAGAGGAGCGGAGAGGUGGAGCUAGGGACUGGGUGUAGGAGGAGGCCUUGGCGGUGUUAAGGAAACGGUGGGGAAGGGCUCUGCGCAAGGCCAU
rnacentral:lncRNA from 1 species